AUUGAACGCUGGCGGCAGGCCUAACACAUGCAAGUCGAACGGUAACAGGAAGAUGCUUGCUUCUUUGCUGACGAGUGGCGGACGGGUGAGUAAUGUCUGGGAAACUGCCUGAUGGAGGGGGAUAACUACUGGAAACGGUAGCUAAUACCGCAUAACGUCGCAAGACCAAAGAGGGGGACCUUCGGGCCUCUUGCCAUCGGCUGUGCCCAGAUGGGAUUAGCUAGUAGGUGGGGUAACGGCUCACCUAGGCGACGAUCCCUAGCUGGUCUGAGAGGAUGACCAGCCACACUGGAACUGAGACACGGUCCAGACUCCUACGGGAGGCAGCAGUGGGGAAUAUUGCACAAUGGGCGCAAGCCUGAUGCAGCCAUGCCGCGUGUAUGAAGAAGGCCUUCGGGUUGUAAAGUACUUUCAGCGGGGAGGAAGGGAGUAAAGUUAAUACCUUGGCUCAUUGACGUUACCCGCAGAAGAAGCACCGGCUAACUCCGUG
rnacentral:rRNA from 1 species